UUUAUAUAGUAUAAGCAUUAUAUUUGACUUCCAAUCAAAUGAUCUAACCAAAUUAGUAUAAAUA
rnacentral:tRNA from 1 species